rnacentral:rRNA from 1 species
ACGCCGCGUGAGUGAUGAAGGCUUUCGGGUCGUAAAACUCUGUUGUUAGGGAAGAACAAGUGCUAGUUGAAUAAGCUGGCACCUUGACGGUACCUAACCAGAAAGCCACGGCUAACUACGUGCCAGCAGCCGCGGUAAUACGUAGGUGGCAAGCGUUAUCCGGAAUUAUUGGGCGUAAAGCGCGCGCAGGUGGUUUCUUAAGUCUGAUGUGAAAGCCCACGGCUCAACCGUGGAGGGUCAUUGGAAACUGGGAGACUUGAGUGCAGAAGAGGAAAGUGGAAUUCCAUGUGUAGCGGUGAAAUGCGUAGAGAUAUGGAGGAACACCAGUGGCGAAGGCGACUUUCUGGUCUGUAACUGACACUGAGGCGCGAAAGCGUGGGGAGCAAACAGGAUUAGAUACCCUGGUAGUCCACGCCGUAAACGAUGAGUGCUAAGUGUUAGAGGGUUUCCCCCCUUUAGU